AUUGAACGCUGGCGGCAGGCCUAACACAUGCAAGUCGAGCGAGCGGCGGACGGGUGAGUAAUGUAGGGGGACCGCCCGAGAGAGGGGGAUAACUACUGGAAACGGUGGCUAAUACCGCAUACUAUCGGAUAACCCAUAUGGGAUUAGCUAGUAGGGGGGGUAAAGGCUCAACCAGGAGACGAUCUCUAGCUGGUCUGAGAGGAUGAAAAGCCACACUGGGACUGAGACACGGCCCAGACUCCUACGGAGGCAGCAGUGGGGAAUAUUGCACAAUGGGCGCAAGCCUGAUGCAGCCAUGCCGCGUGUAUGAAGAAGGCCUUAGGGUUGUAAAGUACUUUCAGCGGGGAGGCGUUACCGGCAGAAGAAGCACCGGCUAACUACGUGCCAGCCGCCGCGGUAAUUC
rnacentral:rRNA from 1 species